rnacentral:rRNA from 1 species
AACGAACGCUGGCGGCAUGCCUAACACAUGCAAGUCGAACGAGACCUUCGGGUCUAGUGGCGCACGGGUGCGUAACGCGUGGGAAUCUGCCCUUGGGUGCGGAAUAACAGUUAGAAAUGACUGCUAAUACCGCAUAAUGACUCCGGUCCAAAGAUUUAUCGCCCAGGGAUCAGCCCGCGUCGGAUUAGCUAGUUGGUAGGGUAAAAGCCUACCAAGGCAAAGAUCCGUAGCUGGUCUGAGAGGAUGAUCAGCCACACUGGGACUGAGACACGGACCAGCCUCCUACGGGAGGCAGCAGUGGGGAAUAUUGGACAAUGGGCGAAAGCCUGAUCCAGCAAUGCCGCGUGAGUGAUGAAGGCCUUAGGGUUGUAAAGCUCUUUUACCCGGGAUGAUAAUAACAGUACCGGGAGAAUAAGCCCCGGCUAACUCCGUGCCAGCCGCCGCCGUAAUAC